UAUGGCCAAAUGUUUUGUUUAUUACAGACAGUAAGAGGAAAUUAACAUAACUCAGAUUCAUGCACUUUUAUUUGAUCAUUAAAUUGAUCAAAAGUGAGAGUAAAACAUUUAUAAUGUUUCAAAAGAUUUCUAUUUCAAAUAAAAGCUGUUCUUUUGAACUUUCUAUUCAUCUCUGAAUCCUGAAAAAUAAAAUGCAUCAGUUUCCUCAAAAAUAUUGAGCAGCACAACUGUGUUCAACAUUGAUAAUAAUCAGAAAUGUUUCUUGAGCAGCAGAUCAGCAUAUUAUUAUGAUUUCUGAAGAUCAUGUGACACUGAAGACUGGAGUAAUGAUGCUGAAAAUACAGCUGCGCAUCACAGAAAUAAAUUACACUUUAACAGAUACUCACAUAGAAAACAGCUGUUUUACAUCACAAUAAUAUUUCAUCCAUUUUUACUGUAUUUUGAUCAAAUAAGUGCAGCCUUGAUGAGCAGAAGAGACUUCUUUCAAAAAAAAAAAAAAAAAAAACUCUUACUAACCCCAACAUUUUCGAUGGCUAUGUACAGUUUGGAUUUAUUCCUUGGUUUUAUUAAUGUUUAAUUCUGUUAAAAAUAAAACAGCUGUGGCACAGAAAACCUGGGAAUAUCAGGCAUUUCAGUUUGAAAAAUGAUGGCAAUAUUUAGUAAGACUUUUUCUAUUAUUACUUGUAUGUAAAAACUGAAAGAGCCAGAAGAGGCUCUUGUGGAUUUGCGUGUUUGAAUUACAAAGCAAGAAAGUGGGAGAGAGCUGACGAAGGCAAGGGAAUGGUUCUGUCCAUCUGUGAAGCGCUCGUUUGACGACAGACUGUGAGUUUGUCCCGCUCCUGAGACAGAUGGUUGCUGGGGGACUCUGAUAACAGGACAGCAGGUCAACGCCGAGGCUGCGCUCCAACUCAACAUGUGUGUUUAUCUGUCAUGUCCAAAUGUCAUAUUCAAGUGCUGGAGGUUUAUUAGCCACAGAAUCUGGUGCGAAUCAUCGGCGUCAUCAGGAAAAUAUGAGCAGCAUCACGCUGACAAAUCUGCUGCUUUAUUCCCGCUUGUGAAAGUGCUUCUGAACAACUGAACAUCACUGGAAAGACUUCUCUGCUGCAUUCAGAGUCCUUAUUCAUCUGUUAAUAUUACUGCUGUUCAUACUCAUGUGUGAUCUCUGAUGGAUGUAGUGUUUCAGAUCCAGCGUUCACUAAUGGAGUGGAAGAAAAGCUUGAGCUCUGAAACAUGAAAAACAGACUCAGAAAUAAACAAGGUAUAUUUAUAUUAUAUUACUCAAAUGUGUAAGAUAAUGUUAUGAAAUGGACAUAUAACGUUAUAAAGUGACCAAAGGCUAAAACACAUCAUGUGUCUCCCUAAAUAUAGUGAUUCUCGGUGAAUCUUCUGAACGAUUCAGAUCAUGUCCAGAAAUAUGACCCUUCACCUAGUGAUAAUUAAAGCUUGUCGGUGGCCGCAGGAAGUGAUGCGAUGUCAUUCCCUGAUGUCAUCCGUCUCCCUGGCAACAAUGACAACUGCCAAUGUGACCCAUCAUGAGCGAGAAGAUGAAGAUGAGGGACUGAGAGACGACACCAUGGUGGAGGAAGGGGCCAAAUGUUCACCGGGGUACAGGAAGCUGCCAUUGUAAACUUGGUUUUGGAAAAUAAUGAAAUCAGAUUAUGAGAAAUUCAAACACAUCAUCCAAGACAACACCUUAUUCAACAACAUUCAACAAGUCAGUCUGUCCACAU
ensembl:lncRNA